UGGUGGAGAUGUAGCCAUCCAGGCGGACUGCCCCAACUCCCUGCGAUGGAGAGGGGAUGUCGCGGGCUGUGGAUGUGGAGGACAGCCGUGUGACGAUAUACGGGGAAAGAAAAAAAGGGAACCCGUUAGAUUUAAACAAAUGGACGGGGCCAGCGGGACGUCACGAUGCGCAGUCGCCACAAAGCUCAAUACGCCGCUCAUGAACGCGCUCAUUUGGCUCCCAGCAUGCUGCACGUCCGGAGGGACCGCUGGCUACCAGGAGCUCAUCCAAACCAAGUGCAACCCACCCUGCUGCAAAUAAGGAGGACACAAAACUUACAAACAAAAGCGCGAGAAAUGAAGACGAAACUGCUCCCAACCGCCUGUCAGGUGUGUCGGAGGCUGUGUGUGCUGCGGACAGAGAGCUGUGUUGCAGGCCGGAGGGGUUGUCUGUUAUCUUUGGUUAUCUAGCUGUAUGAGUGAUGCACAUUUUUCAUAAAGCUAGAUAACCGAAAGUAACAAGAAUCCCAUUACACGCCUGCACGGAGGCAGAAGACUAAAUUUAAAAAAAACAUAAAAAGAACCAGGAAGGGGCUCGGACGAUGGACGCUAAGCGAUGAUGCGAAGGUUUCUCAUCAGUCUGGAUUUGGGAAUCAUCGAAUCCUUGCCUCUCCGCUCCUUUGGACUGUGACUUUGAGUCCAGCGAUGUUCACUUCACACAGGAAUACAUCAUGAACAGCUAAUAUAAUGGAGGACACACACUGAUUCUAUGAAAGCAGGAGCGGUCUCUAACAAGCUCUUAAACUGGUAAUGGAUACAAAAGUGACUUCAACAGCACAACAUCUUAAUCUGACUGGUGAAAGAAGAUUGAUACGAGUGGACAAACAGACCUUCGGCUAUUAUGACGGUGAAACUGAGAGUAAAGGACGGCAAAGUGAUCUCUGUGUGUGUGUGUGUGUGUGUGUGUGUUUGUGUGUGUGUGUACACAAUGUUUUUGUGGACUGCUCUGCACAGCUGUUCAGGUGACAUCUGCACUAGAUUUUCAUGUAGGUCAGGGCUUAGAUGACUCUUCAUCACAUGCACACACACACACAAAUUCAGCCAUUCGAGGUUUAAACUAAAAAAUGAUUUUAAUAUUUUAAAAAUAUCUGCAGUGGUAUUUUAAAUGUUCUGUAUUAAUCCUGAGUAUUAUUAGUAUUCAAUGGCAUUUAGUAUUAUUCUCCUUUAAAUUAGCCUUUUAUCUUAGGUUUAAUAUAGAUUUGUAUUUUCUUUUGAACUGUCUUUGUUUAUACUUAUUAUAGCUAGCACUUAGUAGUAUUUUUGUCUCAUGUAAAAUGUUGGUUGUUUACAAUCAAAUUGUUGACAAUCUGUGACUGGAUCACCUCCAACAUUUGAAAUAAUCUUUUUGAUGAAGGGUUGUCAAAAAUGUUUUAUGGUCAAGAUCCAUCCACGAAGAAUUGUAUCUCAAUCAUUUAGAUAGUUUUGACCUUUUAAUUCAUUAUCUCAUAACUAUAGAUUUUCUAAUGUACAUCUCUAUAUCCCUAACAUGCUAAAUAUUUUGGCGGUUAAGCCAUCUGUCAAAUACAUCACAUUUCAUUUGAUCUUUUUCAUUUUGUGUACAAUAUCUUCAAUACAUUGUGAUUUUAUUUUUAGUGUAUGCAUUUAAUCUUAGUAUUACUGCAGAAAGUAUUUAAUGCAAUCAAACUUAUUUUUUGAUAUCUAUGCAAAAGAAAUGAGGGUUUUUUGUUAAGUUUGCACUAUUUGUAUGAAUGAUUGCACAUUCAUUUUAUUGUUGAGUUUGCACAUCAACAGCUAAAUGUACGGGUUAGGGUUGUGUGGGAGAGUUGUGGUAUUUUACCAAAAUGCACUAUAUGAGCGCAGUUGCAAUGUGUGUACUACGAUGUUAUCGAAGCGUGUAUGCCGUAGGUUCAUUAUAAACAGUGUUUAAUGAGAUGAUUUAAUCAGCUGUUAAUUGCACAGUCAGCCUCUAGAAACUGAAAUCUGGAUUUAUUCCACAUUUCAUUUGUCAAAUCAGCUCCUUUGACAAUGUGAUAUGAAUAAUUCAAUGCAUAGGAAUUUGUGUUGAUCUGAUGUGGAACAUGAAUGUGCAAUAGAUUUGAUGCAGUUUGAAUACUAGUCAGUGGGAGUAAUUGAUUAUAUUACAAUGCACUAUGAACUGCUGUUUUAGGAGUCUUAUAAGCAUGAUUUGCACUUGAGCUGCUGUUCAUGUGCUCAAUGUUUUAACUAUGCAAUUGUUUCUACGGCAGUUAAUUUAAAUCAAUAAAAGUAUUAAUGUUUACAUGAAACA